rnacentral:lncRNA from 1 species
GAAAGAAGGGAUGGGCCAGUGAGUGCGGAAGGGCAGCCUGCCUUGUGAAAGGGUGGGGAGAGAGGAGGCCCAGGCUGGCAAGUGGUAACAGCCUACCACUUAAGAGCCAAGAAGGUGAGGCUGGAGGACUUCCCCAGAUACAGAGCUGCUCCCAUUCCGCUCCUUUGCCCUGAGAAGUGAUUUCGGGGGAGGGAGUGCACGCACGCCCUGCAGCCCUCAAGCCCGGAUCCUGAGGUGGGCUGAAGGAAGAUCUUAGCUGGGCUAGGCAGCCCAGCCAGGAGCCUUCGGCUUGGUUAAGCCAAUGCCCUCCUGCUUCUCCAAAAGCUUUAAAGUGACUUUAGUGCCUU